AAAGCAGCCAAGAACUGUCUGUCAGCUUCCUGGCAGAGCCAAAAUCAAGCUGUCAAUUACUGGACGUGUUUAUGGAAAUUAUAUGUUUGUUAACAUGCUGGAAAAAUGUGCUCUCGGCUCAAGCAGCAUGUGUUCAGGGAAAACAAUUUUGCUCGGAAAUCACCUUUCAAAUGGGAUGAAGGUGAUCCUCAUCAGAUCACAGACAGAAGAGGCAUUUUAACUCUCCCCGUCCUGAUAUAUGUGAGGGAGGUGGAAAAAAAAAAGCCAAGACGGGAGGAGACAAAGCUAACAAUCAUAGGAUGCGGAAAAUGCAGUUUUUGGCAUCCGAUGCAGAAGAGAAGCAUCUCUGCGGGAUUUAAAAAGCUAACCGCAGUUAGUAUACAUCCCACUUUGCAGAUGUUCCACAACGUGCCAAAAGGCCCUGAUUUCAGCCUCCCAAUGAUCGUGAAAUUGAGCCAAUCGACAUGCAUGUCUCGGAUGUCUGGUCGAGCUCAUCUAAGACAAGGUAAUUUUGCCGGGAGCAAUUACCAUUGUAAUGUAUUCCAAAGCCGGGGCAUUUGCCGCUGCUUAGGUGAGCC